CCUGUAUGCAACAUCUGCAACUGCAAAAACAUGAGGGCUUAGCUCCCCAAAUUGAGCACCUUUAUAUUGUUCCAUCAUGUGAGUAUCAUACAGAUGAGGUAAUCUUUGAAAUGGGUUUAUAGCAAUCAGUAUAUUUCCAGUGUACGUAUAGAUUUCAUUAAGUUCAUAUCUGGUAGCCAAGUUAUGCAAAACUCCAGGUUCAUGCAAAUAUGACAACUUUGUCAUGUCAUCUACACCCCCUGGAGGAGCUUCAGUAUCCUUGGGGAACACUUUGGAUAUAUUUGCAACAACUGUUUUCCCAUUUGUGGUACGAACACGAACUUCUUCACCGUUUAUUUUAAAAACUUCACCAUCUAUCCAUGCCUCUGCUGCAUCUUCAACCCAUACAUGAGAACCUACUAUAAUGUUCACUGGUGCGGCCAUGGCGAUCCAACACUGCGAUCUUCUUUCUCUUUCAACUCAUUAGAAGAAAGACCAAGUCGACGCGAAAUGAGACUCAGUGAGACGGAUCGGGAAGAAUAAGACUCGGUAGGUUUUGUCUUUGUGAGUUCCAACGCUAGAACUUCCCUUCUUCUUCGUCUUCGACGGACAAAAAAGAAAGCGGCGGUUGAAUUGAAUUUGAGCUGGAGAAGAAGAUGAUAACCAGAAGCAAACAAAAGUUUUUUACGGAUUUUGCCCCUUUUCAAAGCUUUUUUUUUUUUU
rnacentral:misc_RNA from 1 species